AAAAGCCGUGUAAGCGGAGACGCUUAUGCACGGUUUUGUGAGAAACAAGGACUGAAAUGUUUUUGUUUACUCGAC
rnacentral:ncRNA from 1 species